rnacentral:rRNA from 1 species
CACACCGUAAACGAUGAUAGCUAGGUGUGGGGGGAGCUAUCCCCUCCGUGCCGGAGUUAACGCAUUAAGCUAUCCACCUGGGGAGUACGAUCGCAAGAUUAAAACUCAAAGGAAUUGACGGGGGCCCGCACAAGCAGUGGAUUAUGUGGUUUAAUUCGAAGCAACGCGAAGAACCUUACCAGGUCUUGACAUCAAGUGACGUCUUAAGAGAUUAGGAUUUCCUUCGGGACACGAAGACAGGUGG